AUGGAUGAUGGAACUGGUGGUGUUCAAGAAUCAAGUGACAUGUCGAUUUCAAGCGAUGAUGACACCAAUAAGCAACGGAAUGAAAGCAAUGUGGAACUUGAACAUGACCUUGGUGAAGCUCAACCAGAUGCCUUACUUGGAGACCCUAAAUUGGGGAUGACCUUUGAUACUGAGAAUGAGGUGGGAGAGUACUACAACAACUACGCUAAAGCAAAGGGCUUUGGUGUGACAAGAAAAAGCUCAAACAAUGAUGAUAAUGGACAGCUGAAGUAUCUUACACUUUCGUGCUCUCAGUAUGGUAAGACUCAGUCCAGAUCAAGAAAUAUGUUGAAACCAAAUCCAACAACCGGGUUAGGAUGUAAAGCUAAAAUCAAUAUUAUCCGUGGUCCUGAUGGGAAGUUUCAUCUUUCAACUGUCAUUUUAGAUCAUAAUCAUACAUUAAGUCCACACAAGUCUCGGUUAUUCAGAUGCAACCAAAAGUUAGACUUCCAUGUGAAGCGAAGGCUUGAGCUGAAUGACCGGGCUGGAAUUCGAGUAAACAAGAAUUCAACCAUACCUUGCAUCACACACUUUGAUAUUGAGAAGCAAUUUCAGUCAAUCUAUACAAAUUCGAAGUUCAAAGAAUUUCAAGAAGAGCUAACACACAAGAUGUAUUGUGAUAGGAAGUUAAUAGAAAAAAGGGGCAAUGGAAACAUAUGA
rnacentral:rRNA from 1 species